AGGGAACAAAAGGCGGGGCAUCAUGCAGAUUAGAAAUGGCUGUGCGGCGGCGCGGUUUUGAAGGUCUAAAUAUCCGAAUCCGGCGACAUCCUCCAAAUGCAACGGACUGCUCAUUGGCUGUCCUACCCGGCCUGUGACAUAGUGCUUCUCCAGUAUUUCCAAUACAUCUCCAACAGGUGUGUUCCUGGUGGUCUUUGGCUGGAUGGCGUUGACAAGUUAUUAAGAGGGUCCACCGAUGGACCCAUAUGGGAACUGCGACAUGGAAUGCGUUUUAUUCUAACAAGCAAAGUCCCCCCCCCCCCCGUUGGAAGGCCUAUAAACGAGAAUACAAGUCAUGAAAUACCGCUAUUUACAAAUAGAACUGCUCAAAAGAGAAACUAGAAAAAAAAGAGAAAAGGUUGUUGAUCUCAUAACUCCCAGAGCAAGACAACUUAGUAAAAGGGUAGAGGGAUGGAUAUAUAUGUAUCUGCAUCUGUGUCGGUGUAUGUAUGUACAGUACACAACAGAUCCAUGAUGUUA